CCUACGGGAGGCUGCAGUGGGGAAUAUUGCACAAUGGGGGAAACCCUGAUGCAGCAACGCCGCGUGAGUGAUGACGGCCUUCGGGUUGUAAAGCUCUGUCUUCAGGGACGAUAAUGACGGUACCUGAGGAGGAAGCCACGGCUAACUACGUGCCAGCAGCCGCGGUAAUACGUAGGUGGCGAGCGUUGUCCGGAUUUACUGGGCGUAAAGGGAGCGUAGGCGGACUUUUAAGUGAGAUGUGAAAUACCCGGGCUCAACUUGGGUGCUGCAUUUCAAACUGGAAGUCUAGAGUGCAGGAGAGGAGAAUGGAAUUCCUAGUGUAGCGGUGAAAUGCGUAGAGAUUAGGAAGAACACCAGUGGCGAAGGCGAUUCUCUGGACUGUAACUGACGCUGAGGCUCGAAAGCGUGGGGAGCAAACAGGAUUAGAUACCCUGGUAGUC
rnacentral:rRNA from 1 species